rnacentral:lncRNA from 1 species
AGACUGAGGAUGCAGAACACCAGCAUCUCCAAAUGGCUGCUGCUCAUCUCCUGGAUGCCCCACCUGGAGCAGAUUAGAAUAUUCAGACAUACUGAAUAAUGAAAGAGGAAGGCUCUAUUACCUUCUUGGUAAUAUUCCUACAGCGCAUGCUGGGAACCUUUCUGGGGAAAACCCAGUGUAGCUCUGGAGCUGCAGUCCUUCUCAAGAGCAACGAAUAUGCCAG